UGAUUCUCUGAUCAUCCCAGGUUGGAUCUCCUCCGCCUGUAAUCCUCCACCUUCAGCACCACCAGUCAGGGGAAGGAAGAUAAGAGAACCCAGUUGACAAAAAAAGUAAGAAACUUAUUUUCAUUUUAAAUAUGGAAGAAAUUGAGGUCAAAUUUCAAAAUUGUUCUUCCUUCUGUCCACAUAUAUUCUAUUUGUUAACCCUGUUGUCUUUUCUCUGGAUUUCAUUUCUACAUCAACUCAUGUCACAUGACAUGAGUUGACCAACAAUUAAAGCAGAAGACCAGCUCCGCCUGUAAUCCUCCCUUCAACACCACCAGUCAGGUGGAGGAAGAUAAGAGAACCCAGUUGACUAAAAAAAUUGACCAACAAUUAAAGCAGAAGACCUGCUCCACCUGCUGAUCUACUGGUUGUAACAGCUUGUGGGAAAGCAUCACUGGACCAAUCAGGCGAGAGAAGACAGAGAGGACUGAGGACUGAAACGAAAAUACUCUGCCUGCCAAAAAAGGUAGACGAUCCAGUGGCCCCAGGUUUACACACCAUCUGUUGGUUUGAGGCAGACCAACCGCUGGGGAGAUGGACCUCACCUGGCACCAUUACUCUGGAUGUAACAGCUCAACUCUGCUGUCAAAACAUCAAUGACUCGAGAAGCGGACAGCGAGAUUUCUGGUGCCUGGCUGGAGACGAGAUUCUGAUUAUUCAAGAGCCAAAACAAAAUGUCAGAAUAAAUAGUUAGAAGGCAGAUUUGUUUUCUGUUUGUUAUUGUUUUCAUUAUUAAUGCUCCAUAACACAAAAUUCAUCACUGCUGUAACUCUUGAGUUGAAUAAAAUGUUCUUCUUUCAA